CUUACCUCUGGCAGAACAUGGUGUGACUGCAGGAAUAAAAGCUGGCCAAAAGAAAGGACAAUUCAUGGUAAGGUUACAGAGAGCUCAGAGACAUCUGGCUCAGGUGAUGAAGUCUGUGAGAGCAUCACUGAACUUGAAAUAAAAACUUUACAGAAAAGAGAUAAGAUAAAUUCACAGACUGAGAUAGAAGCCAUUCCCCCAAGCAGAGUCAGACCUUCCAUUUGGACCAAACAGGCUCACCUUUGAAUCAGUGUAAGUCAACCCACAAGACAGUAGAGCGAUGAUUUGGACCUAUGG
rnacentral:lncRNA from 1 species